rnacentral:rRNA from 1 species
CACGGAGGGGACGAGCGUUGUCCGGAUUUAUUGGGCGUAAAGCGCGCGUAGGCGGCCCGGAAAGUCGGUUGUGAAAACCCGGGGCUCAACCCCGGGCCUGCAUCCGAAACUUCCGGGCUGGAGGUAGGUAGGGGAGAUCGGAAUUCCUGGUGUAGCGGUGAAAUGCGUAGAUAUCAGGAGGAACACCUGCGGUGUAGACAGCUUACUGGACCAUAACUGACGCUGAGGCACGAAAGCGUGGGUAGCAAACAGG